UUAAGCGACUAAGCGUACACGGUGGAUGCCCUGGCAGUCAGAGGCGAUGAAGGACGUGCUAAUCUGCGAAAAGCGUCGGUAAGGUGAUAUGAACCGUUACAGCCGGCGAUGUCCGAAUGGGGAAACCCAGUGCAAUUCGUUGCACUAUCGUUAACUGAAUACAUAGGUUAACGAGGCGAACCGGGGGAACUGAAACAUCUAAGUACCCCGAGGAAAAGAAAUCAACCGAGAUUCCCCCAGUAGCGGCGAGCGAACGGGGAGCAGCCCGGAGUCUGAAUCAGCUUGUGUGUUAGUGGAAGCGUCUGGAAAGUCGCAGGGUACAGGGUGAUACUCCCGUACACUAAAACACACAGGUUGUGAACUCGAAGAGUAGGGCGGGACACGUGGUAUCCUGUCUGAAUAUGGGGGGACCAUCCUCCAAGGCUAAAUACUCCUGACUGACCGAUAGUGAACCAGUACCGUGAGGGAAAGGCGAAAAGAACCCCGGCGAGGGGAGUGAAAAAGAACCUGAAACCGUGUACGUACAAGCAGUAGGAGCCCACUGGUUGGGUGACUGCGUACCUUUUGUAUAAUGGGUCAGCGACUUAUAUUCUGUAGCAAGGUUAACCGUAUAGGGGAGCCGCAGGGAAACCGAGUCUUAACUGGGCGUUAAGUUGCAGGGUAUAGACCCGAAACCCGGUGAUCUAGCCAUGGGCAGGUUGAAGGUUGGGUAACACUAACUGGAGGACCGAACCGACUAAUGUUGAAAAAUUAGCGGAUGACUUGUGGCUGGGGGUGAAAGGCCAAUCAAACCGGGAGAUAGCUGGUUCUCCCCGAAAGCUAUUUAGGUAGCGCCUCGUGAACUCAUCUUCGGGGGUAGAGCACUGUUUCGGCUAGGGGGUCAUCCCGACUUACCAACCCGAUGCAAACUACGAAUACCGAAGAAUGUUAUCACGGGAGACACACGGCGGGUGCUAACGUCCGUCGUGAAGAGGGAAACAACCCAGACCGCCAGCUAAGGUCCCAAAGUCAUGGUUAAGUGGGAAACGAUGUGGGAAGGCCCAGACAGCCAGGAUGUUGGCUUAGAAGCAGCCAUCAUUUAAAGAAAGCGUAAUAGCUCACUGGUCGAGUCGGCCUGCGCGGAAGAUGUAACGGGGCUAAACCAUGCACCGAAGCUGCGGCAGCGACACUAUGUGUUGUUGGGUAGGGGAGCGUUCUGUAAGCCGUUGAAGGUGGCCUGUGAGGGUUGCUGGAGGUAUCAGAAGUGCGAAUGCUGACAUAAGUAACGAUAAUGCGGGUGAAAAACCCGCACGCCGGAAGACCAAGGGUUCCUGUCCAACGUUAAUCGGGGCAGGGUGAGUCGACCCCUAAGGCGAGGCCGAAAGGCGUAGUCGAUGGGAAACAGGUUAAUAUUCCUGUACUCGGUGUUACUGCGAAGGGGGGACGGAGAAGGCUAUGUUGGCCGGGCGACGGUUGUCCCGGUUUAAGCAUGUAGGCGGAUGUUCCAGGUAAAUCCGGAACGUCACUAACGCUGAGGUGUGAUGACGAGGCACUACGGUGCUGAAGUGACAAAUGCCCUGCUUCCAGGAAAAGCCUCUAAGCAUCAGGUAACAUCAAAUCGUACCCCAAACCGACACAGGUGGUCAGGUAGAGAAUACCAAGGCGCUUGAGAGAACUCGGGUGAAGGAACUAGGCAAAAUGGUGCCGUAACUUCGGGAGAAGGCACGCUGAUGGUAGGUGAAGCGACUUGCUCGUGGAGCUGAAAUCAGUCGAAGAUACCAGCUGGCUGCAACUGUUUAUUAAAAACACAGCACUGUGCAAACACGAAAGUGGACGUAUACGGUGUGACGCCUGCCCGGUGCCGGAAGGUUAAUUGAUGGGGUUAUCCUCGCGGAGAAGCUCUUGAUCGAAGCCCCGGUAAACGGCGGCCGUAACUAUAACGGUCCUAAGGUAGCGAAAUUCCUUGUCGGGU
rnacentral:rRNA from 1 species